rnacentral:rRNA from 1 species
AAUGAACGCUGGCGGCCGGCCUAACACAUGCAAGUCGAACGGAUCCUUCGGGAUUAGUGGCGGACGGGUGAGUAACGCGUGGGAACAUACCCAAAGGUACGGAAUAGCCUCGGGAAACUGGGAGUAAUACCGUAUGUGCACGAAAGAGGAAAGAUUUAUCGCCUUUGGAUUGGCCCGCGUUGGAUUAGGUAGUUGGUGGGGUAAUGGCCUACCAAGCCGACGAUCCUUAGCUUGUUUGGGAGGAUGAUCAGCCACACUGGGACUGAGACACAGUCCAGACUCCUACGGGAGGCAGCAGUGGGGAUUCUUAGAGUAUGGGGGAAGCCCUGAUCUAGCCAUGCCGCGUGAUCGAUGAAGGCCUUAGGGUUUUAAAGAUCUUUCAGGUGGGAAGAUAAUGACUGUACCACCAGAAGAAGCCCCGGCUAACUCCGUGCCAGCCGCCGCCGUAA